GGUGGCGAGCGGCGGACGGGUGAGUAAUGCCUAGGAAUCUGCCUGGUAGUGGGGGAUAACGCUCGGAAACGGACGCUAAUACCGCAUACGUCCUACGGGAGAAAGCAGGGGACCUUCGGGCCUUGCGCUAUCAGAUGAGCCUAGGUCGGAUUAGCUAGUUGGUGAGGUAAUGGCUCACCAAGGCGACGAUCCGUAACUGGUCUGAGAGGAUGAUCAGUCACACUGGAACUGAGACACGGUCCAGACUCCUACGGGAGGCAGCAGUGGGGAAUAUUGGACAAUGGGCGAAAGCCUGAUCCAGCCAUGCCGCGUGUGUGAAGAAGGUCUUCGGAUUGUAAAGCACUUUAAGUUGGGAGGAAGGGCAGUAAAUUAAUACUUUGCUGUUUUGACGUUACCGACAGAAUAAGCACCGGCUAACUCUGUGCCAGCAGCCGCGGUAAUACAGAGGGUGCAAGCGUUAAUCGGAAUUACUGGGCGUAAAGCGCGCGUAGGUGGUUCGUUAAGUUGGAUGUGAAAUCCCCGGGCUCAACCUGGGAACUGCAUUC
rnacentral:rRNA from 1 species